AGGAUUUAUAGAGAAGGUUUUCCUAGUAUUUUCCUGCCUAUUUUGUGUGCUUCACAGAGCGCAUUUUCCUCAGGGCUUUCUUGGCCCACAGAAACCUUGGGUCAGGAUGGCCAGUGGCCAUACCAUCUGGGAAUUCUGAGAAAUGGAAGUAAUUUUUCCAAGCUCUAGUUCAGCCUAUGAGAUUGAGUAACUAGCCUAAGAAAGAAAGAAAAAAAUCAACAUCUUUAAUGUUUAUCUGAUUGCAAAUAGAUGCUCAUGAGGAAUGCCAGACAACAGGAGAGCGCAAGUUCUUGAACACGGAGUCAGUCAUUCAGGAGGAACGAUACGAUAUACAGUAUGUGUUUCCACAGCCAAGAAAGAAGGACAAUCAAGAAUAUCUAAGGUCGUGUGGCAAUCUGAAAAAGGCAAGGACUAUGUGAAGAAAACCAUGCUGAGAACCUCAGUCUCUGAAGAAUGCCGUGAGCCCUCCUGAAUACAAACCGCAGUGGAGUUGCCAGAAAGAUGGAAUUGAAUAUCAGGAACUAUUUGCACAAACUGUUAUU